AUUGAACGCUGGCGGCAUGCUUUACACAUGCAAGUCGGACGGCAGCGGGGUAGUGCUUGCACUACUGCCGGCGAGUGGCGAACGGGUGAGUAAUAUAUUGGAACGUACCGAGUAAUGGGGGAUAACCAAUCGAAAGAUUGGCUAAUACCGCAUACGCUCUGAGGAGGAAAGCAGGGGACCUUCGGGCCUUGCGUUAUUCGAGCGGCCAAUAUCUGAUUAGCUAGUUGGUGGGGUAAGGGCCUACCAAGGCGACGAUCGGUAGCGGGUCUGAGAGGAUGAUCCGCCACACUGGGACUGAGACACGGCCCAGACUCCUACGGGAGGCAGCAGUGGGGAAUUUUGGACAAUGGGCGCAAGCCUGAUCCAGCCAUGCCGCGUGUCUGAAGAAGGCCUUCGGGUUGUAAAGGACUUUUGUUAGGGAAGAAAAAGGAGCGGUUAAUACCCGUUUCUGCUGACGGUACCUAAAGAAUAAGCACCGGCUAACUACGUG
rnacentral:rRNA from 1 species